rnacentral:lncRNA from 1 species
CUUGACUCAUUUUUCUUCCAUCUUUUGAACUCUUUAGAAUCUGAGAUUUUUUGUCUUCCUUUCUCCUUCGUCUCUUUCGUCUUCUUUGUGUUUUCCUUGGAACUUCUGUGAUUUAGGGUUUGUAUUCUGUCUGAAUAAGUGAAUCUAAGUGAUUCUUGAAUGAGGAAAAAGGGUUUAUAUCUGUUUUGGGGCUUUUUUCUUUGGUCGAAGUAACCUCGUUCUAUUUUCUAUGUGGGUUUGGAUAUUUUGGUGCUUUACUUUUGUGCAGAAGGGUACAAUCAAAUGUUAGAUUUGUUUUGUAACAUUUAACAGUGAAUGAUUUGGGAUGCUUUGUGUGUAUUUUUUGAUUUCUUGGUAUAGUAGUGGUAUCAGAGCCUUUAGAGGCAUUAGGGCUUCGUUCGACGGUGAUCUAUUUGUGAAAAAUCAUUUUCACAGCGAGAUCUGAAUAGAUCUGUGUGAUCGAAACCCUAGAUCUAUUUCAACUACAGAUCGUACAUAUCUUUGUUUACCUUUUUUUUUUUUUUUACUGAUGACUAAACUAACGAUUGUUCACUUUGGCUGUCUCGUUAGUUUCUUACAGGUUGACCUUUGCAAACUGAGUGUUCGUGAUUGAUUCUUAGAUGACCAAACAGUAUUCUUGAGGCUUUCUUGGUUAUUGGUAGUCAUAACUAAUGACUACUUCUUUUUUGCUUUGAGGCAAUUUUCCCUUAUUUUUUCAAAUCUAGAUUUCCCAGUUUUAUAUAUAUAUAUAUAUAUAUAUAUAUUGUGGUACCGUAAAUUGCUACAUUCUUCGAUAGAUUUCAUGUAUACAAUAACAUACUUGUGUAGUUAAAUUUUGUGAACUACAUUCGCUUAUUGGUUCUGUUUGACACAUUCAUUAUAUCCCCUUCAACUUCUGGUUCUGAUGCCCCAAUUUGAGCCUUGACCUGAGGACGUGAUCUUCAUAGAAUCUUGGUGAAUUUAGGCAUUUGGGGCCUGAAGUGCAUUAUGUUGAAUAUACUAUCAUUUCUUAUUAUUGUUAAUACUCUGUGUGUUACUGUUUUCUUGAUUCUUAAAGCUACUUGAUACUUAAUAAUCUUGGCCGACUCUUAGUGUUGUCAAACUUUAUUCUAUAUCCACAUGUUUUCUGUUGAACAUUGUAACUACAAAUAAUUUUCUCGUGUUGAUUUUGAACUCCAAAUGUCGACUACUAAGUUUGAACUUAGGGGUUUAAAUGGAAAAUGGGACUUCCCUAUUUGACAGCAAAAGAUGAAAUGGGUCCUUAUUCAACAGAAAGUCUUAAGAGGCUAUAACUGCUGAAUAUUCUGCUACUAUGACUCAAGAACAAAAAACUAAAUCUGAUGAACUUGCCAACCCCUCUAUCAUAUUGCAUUCAUUUGAUCAAGUUUUAAGGAAAGUUGAGAAACUAGAUAAUGCAAAAGCUUUGUGGGAUAAAUUAGAAGAAAAUUAUUUAGUAAAAUCCUUACCAAAUAAAAUAUUUCUUCUGGAAAGAGUCUGCAAUUAUAAGAUAGACCCUUCCAAAAAUUUAGAAAAUAACAUUGAUGUUUUUAAUAAAUUAGUUCUAGAUAUAACCAAUGUUCGAGAAAAAGUCUCCAAGGAUUGAUCGUUUGAUUACCUGCAAGUGAACAGAUCGUUAGCAAGUAAUAUAGUAGUGUGUAAAGUGUUGAGUCCACGAAGACUUUGUUUGAUCCAGUUAAAAUUAAUAAUAUCCUUAAUCGAAUAGCAAAAUUAAGUUGUGAUUAAACAAUAUUAAAUUUGACAACUAAAUUGAAAGCAAAGUAAAAAUUUAUCAAAUUCGCUAGAAGUAUUGCUAAGACGUGGAAUCCCCAUUGAUAAUUUAUUUUUAGUUUGAUAAUUUAAAUUGACAAUUUAAAAUCAUAUUUAUUGGUCAAUAUUCAUAUUUUAAUUGAGAACCUCUCUUGAAAACUAUAAAAUCUAUUUUCUUCAUGCGAUGUUUCGUCACUCAAUGAAAUAUAUGAACAUGAUAAAUGUCAGAACAUCUUAUAAAAAUCAUAUGAAGUAUAGAGGUAUAUCUCUAUCAUCUAUCGAACCUCACAAUAUUUAUUAUUUUGUCGAUAACAACAAAAUUCACAAACAAUUCAACUAGUGGCCAAUUAAUUGAAAAAAACAUGAAAACGAUAAUAAACACCCAAACAAUUAAACAAAUUAACGUCAAUUAAAUUAUUCAAAUUAAAAAUUCAUAACAAGGGUUCAUCACAUCUUAACAAAUAUUAAAAAUUAGUCUAACAUAUUGAAAUUACAAGAAAUCAUAUAUAAGUGGAAAGACAUAAUCCGGAUUUUUGAUAAAUUGUGAAGAUGAAGAUAAAUCUUGAAAUCUUGAAUCUCUUCAAUAGUUUCUUAAUGAAUCUUGACUUGCGCUCUCUCUUCUUUGUCCAAUACCAAGUUUGAAUCUUCACGUGAUUGAAUUCUUGCAAGUCCCCUUCGAUUCUCUCACAAAAACAAUGAAUUCUCCUCCUUUGAUGAUGAUAAUUGAUGAAUAUUGGAGUAUGUUAUGUAUAAGAGACAUGUACGAAAGCCCCCUUCAUGUAUUCUCCUGUUGGGUAUCUGUAGUGGUCGAAAAUUGGUGAAAAAUCACGCCCAAGUUGGUUUUCAAAAGAGUUCCAAUCGAAUAAGCAAAGUUACACUCGUGCGCGGAUUUUUUUCUCUGCACAAUAGUCAAUAUUUUGAUCAUAACUUUGUCUCCCAAUAUUUGAUUGAGUUCAUUCAAAAUGCAUUUAAAAGAUAACUAAAAGGACUACAAUUUUUUUAGAGAUAGAUAUUUUUCAAUUAGGAUGUUUACUAUGCCUAAAAUUGGUCGCAAUCCUUGACAAAAAAUUUAGAAGAUAUAUCAUGUAAUUGGAAGUCGAUUUAUGGUAAUAUUCUGAUGAUAUUCCAUUCCUUUUUUACUUCUAAUUGCAUCCAAUUGAAUCCCAUCAAUCUUUAAAAUAUCUCUUAUGGUCCAAUUCAACAAUUGGAGUUUGCAAUUUGGUCCUAAACUUUGUACUUCAUCAUUUUUUGCCAUUUUUCGCUUAUUUGUUUUAAUUUAACUUCCAACCAUCGAGUUUUACCUAUUAAUGAAAUAUACAAUAAAUUAGGCUAUAAUUGCUUUAGAAAACUAUUAAAUGUCUAUAUUUUUAGGUCUACAUAAGUGUAAAAAAUACACUUAUCAAACACCCCCAAACUUGAACAUUUGUUUGUCCUCAAACAAAACCAUAACCUAACUUAACUAACACACAAACAUACAAAAUAUUUUGGUUGGAUAAUCUUGCUUUUUACCUUGGGAUACGAAAUUAUAAUAUUAAAUCUAUGAACAGCUUCUAGGUUACAAUACCAAAAUUAAUGUCCACUUUACCAGAUGCAAAAUUGACGUAUGUGUGAAAAAUUAAGUAAUCAAUCAUAAAUACACAAGCUGUUUCAGUUCCAGACCUUCUGUGGUCAAAUAUAUCAUUUUCAUCUCUCGUAAGAUUCACACACCACCAAACUUAUUCUUUUUCACUCUUUUCCUAGCGUAUAAUCUAAGGUUGAAUUUUUUAUUACUAUCCUCACUCUCUCCAAUUUAGGUGGAUGUUACUAGUAACAAGUCAACACAUCAAUGAAUAAAUAUUCUCCAAUUAUUUGAUUGCUUAGACUGUCAAGACUCAACUAGGCUAAUUAUCCUUCAUCGAAAGUCAAAUUCCUUCGAACAAGUGUUAGGACUUAAUAAGGCAAUUAGUGUAUUUUUUUAUUUUUAUUUUUUGGUUUUUCCCCCUAUUGCACUUCCCCUUAAGCUUUCUAGAUGACUCAUGUAGCAGACUUUAGGUUGAUAACUCUCAAAUCAGACGACUUUAGGAUAUCAGAUUUUUAAACACCCUUACAAGUUUAAUAACCCGAGUCAUAAAGGUUUCGAAGAGAACAAUUAUUUUUUUCUUUCAAGGGUAACAUCAUCUUUGAUUAUUUUCUAAAUGAACCCUGUAGCGAGCUUUAAGUCGAUGAUUCCCAAGUCAGAUGACUUUAGGAUAUUAGGUUUUAAGAUACCCUUGCAUGCUUAAUUGCUCGAAUCAUAAAGGCUUCAAAGAGAAGUUUUAAAUUUUAAAAUAUAUGCCUUGAAUAGUGCAAUGCCUCUUAUCUAUACCUAUUCAAGAAAAUUGACCUCCAACUCAAGAUUUCACCAAAUUUUAUCAUGUUCAUCUCAGACAAUCCACACAAUUUUUUUUCCACACAAGGAAUUCCUAGCCACAUCCGUAUCUUCCUACAAUAGUAAAAUCACCCCAAACUGUGCUAAAUUUGGUCUAAAGAUAAUUAGUUCAGUAUAGUUUAUGUAAAACAUUUAUGUCCAACUAAAUCAACCUAUCAAGAGCAUGAAAAACUCAUUUCAUUAUAAUGUCAAAUUCAAUUCUAAUGUGCGUAUAAUAUCAAGUUUUGCAAUGUUAUCUAGCGUGCAACAUAUCCACAGUUCAUAAAUUAACACUAAAUCUCAAUUUAGAUCAUCAUUGCCGGUCAGGCUAUCCAACCCACACAAGCACACAACCUAAUAAUUUUUUUUUAAGUAGUACUAAAAACAAACGCGCCAAAACACAUAAGCAUACGAAAAAAAAACUCAAUUUUUUUUCACCCCCAAACUUGAAGCCGACAUUGUCCUCAAUGUCAUAAAGCAAAAGUAAGAGUAUAAGGGAAUGGGGAAGAAAAGGAAGAAAAUACUCCCCAAAAUUUUCUGUUGAAUAUGUGAGGCACUAUAGAUGACGGCUUGACAAUCUCUGUCAUUAUACUUUUCCUUUGGUUUAUGUUGUUUUAAGUGUUCCAUGACGUCAUGAUCCUGCACAUAGCAGUUAAAUCAAACAUUAAAAAUAAGUAAUCUAGAACAUGUGUUACUUAGCCCAAGCAAUCAAAAUACCAACAAUAAAUUCAAUGGCCUAAUGGAAGUAUUAAAGAUGGUGAUACCCUACAAAUUAAAACGUGCUUAAAUCUAAUGCAACCUAGCAAUCGAAACAAAUCUAUAAGCUAUGCUAUGCGAUGCAGAAAGCAAAAUAACUAAAAGCGUUAGAAGAUCGAGUUGCCUCCCAAUAAGCACUUAAUUUAUAGUCUUUAGCUAGACUGUAUGGAAGAAUUGAUCAUGAUGGUUUAUAUCUUGAGUUUUUGCACUCCUUGCAAUUUUCGAUUUUGCAUCCUCGUUUUGCCUUCCAAACCUUGAACCCUCCAUUCCCUUCUUGUCCAAAGCUUCCUAAGUUUUUAGGCUAUGUCUCCUUCAAGCCUUGUUGCACAUUUGCAGCAAUAUAAUUGCACUCCUCCUUAACCUUUUUGCUAAUCUCUUCAAGUAAUGAAUUUUUGAUAGUGUUGUAGAUCUUGAAUUUCUCUUCCUUAUCUUCCACUCUCAAUGUCAAUUCGCCAUUUUCAAAGUCCACGACAACUCGAAUUAUUGAUAGGAAGGAUCUGCCCAAGAUAAGUAACACUUCAUCCCAAGACUCCUCUAUAUCUAGGACAACGAAAUCAACUAGGAAUAUGAUUUACCCACUUUAAUGAGCACGUUCUCAACUACUCCACGUGGGUAUUUGAUUGAUCUAUCCGCCAAUUGAAGGUAGAUGGAUGUGUCUUUCAGCUCUUCCAAACCUAAGUUUUUGUAUACAAAAGAAGGCAUUAGGUUAAUACUUGCUCUAGAAUCACAUAAGCAAUUAAAAUUUAAAUCUUUUCCUAUUGAGGAAGGUAUUUUGGGACUCCCCGAAUCUUGUAGUUUAGGAGGUAAUUUAUUCUGUAAGAUGGCACUACACUCUUCAUUUAACUUGAUGGUCUCAAAAUCUGUAAUAUUUCUCUUUUUUGAUAGGAUCUCCUUCAGAAAUUUUGCAUAGUUUGAUAUUUGAGAUAAAACUUCAAUCAAUGGGACAUUGAAAUGAAGUUUCUUAAAGAUAUCCAAGAACUUUGCAAAUUGUUCUUCCAACUUCUUCUUUUGUAAUUUAUGGGGAAAUGGGAAUAGAGGCACAUAAGGUUUGAUAGGAGCGGUUACCUUGAUUUGUAGAUUUUCUAGCUCUUGAGAUGGAACUACUUUGUCCAGUUGUUCAUAUUUAUCUACCUGUUCCUCAUCUGUAAAAGGUGACUUUUUAUUUUCUGUCACCCGUCUUUUAACUAUAACUUCUGGAAGUUUAACUCCACUGCGUGUAGUAAUUGCCUCAAUCUCCUCGCUCUCCAAAACUUUUACUGUCAUUACCUGCUGUUUAGGAUUUGUUUCCGUGUCGAUUGGUAGUGUUCCUUGCUGUCUUUCUGAGACUGCUUUUGCUAUUUGUUCCAUCUGAUUUUUUAAAUUCUUGAUAGCAGCUUCCUGAACUUGUAAAGUCUUAUCUGUUCUUUGCAUGUGUUGAGUAGAGAUCUCUGCCAAUUUAAUGACAAGAUCUUUCAAUGAAGAAUUAUUUUCAGCCUAUCGAAAACCUGGAGGUGCAGUCUACUAUGCCGCAAUCUAACUACCUGAUUGUUGCUCCAUUGAAAAUCUGGAUAAUUUCUCCAGCUUGGGUAGUAGGUGUUAGGAUUCUGAUUGUGUUGCUAUCUUUGAAAAUUUUGAGCAUAAUUUACAUCAUCUAGUGAUUGAUCAAAAGGACUACCCAUAGUGCAAUCAGCACUUUCAUGAUUUCCUCUACAGUGCUUGCAUUUUUGUCCUACUGUUUGAAACAUGUUGAUGACAUCUGUUCUCAAGUAGAAGUUUUCCUGACCAAACACCGGAUAUACAAUACUGGACUGGCUUUCCACUACCAGUGGAACCAUAUACUCUCCCAUGAGCCUUGCAUUUUUGUUCACUACAGCGAUAUUCAGUUGUGAUACUCCCAAAUUAGCCCCGAUUGUUAGUUGAUUCGGAUUUUUGUUUGCCAUGUCUUCAUCUUUUUGUUUUUGAUGUGUUUCAAGUUGUUGUCUUUUUCGAAAGUUGAAUGUUCAUUCGAUGGGUCAAAUUGAGCAAGAUCACCAGUUCUCAAACUUCGCAUAUAAAGUUCUAAAAAAGAAAGUAAGAAACGUAGUAAAAUUUUUCUAAUAAUUAUACUAAAACAGAAAAAAUUAAAAUUCAGAUUAAAGCUAAAAUAAACUAAAACUAGUAAAAAAAAAUAGUCCCCGGCAUGGCGUCAAAAACUUGAUCGUUUGAUUACCUCAAGUGAACGGGAUCGUGAGCAAGUAAUAUAGUAGUGUGUAGAGUGUCGAACUCACGAGGAUUAUGUGUUUGAUCCAGUUAAAACUAAUAAUACCCUUAAUCGAAUAGCAAAAUCAAGUUGUGACUAAACAAUAUUAAAUCUAGCAACUAAAUUGAAAGCAAAGUAAAAAUUUAUCAAAUUCGCGGGAAGUAUUGCUAAGAUGUAGAAUCCCCCUUGCUAAUCUAUUUUUAGUUCGACAAUUUAAAUCAACAAUUUGAAAUCAUGUUUGUUUGUCAAUGUUCCUAUUUUAAUUGAAAACCUCUCUCGACGGCUAUCAAAUCUAUUUCCUUCAUGCGACCUUCCUAUCACUCGAUGAAAGAUACAAACAUGAUAAAUGCAAGAACAUCUUAUAAAAAUCAUAUGAAGUAUAGAGGUAUAUCUCUAUCCUUUGUCGAACCUCACAAUAUUUAUUAUUUUGUGCUAAUGAUCCUAUUGUCUCUCUCGAUAAUAACAAAAUUCACAAACAAUUCAACUAGUGGUCAAUUAAUUGAAAAAGCAUGAAAACGAUAAUAAACAUCCAAACAAUUAAACAAAUUAACAUCAAUUAAAUUAUUCAAAUUAAAAAUUCAUAACAAGGGUUCAUCACAUCCUAACAAAUAUGAAAAAUUAGCCUAACAUAUUGAAAUUACAAGAAAUCAUAUAUAAGUGGAAAGACAUAACCCGAAUUUUUGAUAAAUUGUGAAGAUGAAGAUAAAUCUUGAAAUCUUGAAUCUCUUCAAUGGUUUCUUAAUGAAUCUCUACUUGCGCUCUCUCUUCUUUGUCCAAUACCAAGUUUGAAUCUUCAAGUGAUUGAAUUCUUACAAGUCUCCUUCAAUUCUUUUACAAAAAUAAUGAAUUCUCUUCCUUUGAUGAUGAUAAUUGAUGAAUGUUGGAGUAUAUUAUGUAUAAGAGACAUGUACGAAAGCCUCCUUCAUGUAUUCUCCUAUUGGGUAUCUGUAGUGGUCGAAAAUUGGUGAAAAAUCACGUCCAAGUUGGUUUCCAAAAGAGUUCCAAUCGAAUAAGCAAAGUUACACUCGCAUGCGGAUUUUUUUCUCUGCACAGCAGUCAAUAUUUUGAUCAUAACUGUGUCUCCUGAUAUUUGAUUGAGUUGAUUCAAAAUGCAUUGAAACGAUAACUAAAAGGGCUACGAUUCUUUUAGAGAUAAAUAUUUUUCAAUUCGAACGUUUACUACGCCUAAAAUUGGUCACAAUCCUUGACAAAAAAAUCUAGAAGAUAUAUCAUGUAAUUCGAAGUCGAUUAUGGUAAUAUUCUGAUGAUAUUUCAUUCCUUUUUUACUUCUAAUUGCAUCCAAUUGACUCUUACCAAUCUUUAAAAUAUCUCAUAUGGUCCAAUUCAACCAUUGGAUAUUUACAAUUUGGUCCUGAACUUUGUACUUCAUCAUUUUUCGUCGUUUUUCACUUAUUUCUUUCAAUUUAGCUUUCAACCAUCGAGUUUUACCUAAUAAAUGAAAUAUACAAUAAAUUAGGUUAUAAUUGCUUUAAAGAACUAUUAAAUGUCUAUAUUUUUAGGUCUACAUAAGUGUAUAAAAUACACUUAUCAAGGAUAAGGAUGUCAUUCUUCUUAAUUCAUUACCUGAAGCUUAUAAAGAUGUUAAAACUGUCAUUAAGUAUGGCACGGAUGUCUUGACUCCUAAGGUUGUUAAGAAGCAAAGAACUAGAACUUAAAUCUGAAAGGCAGGGAAGGGAUUCCGAGAGUCAGCUUGUUAGGGGUAGAUCACUUAGUAGGCAAAAUAGUAGUCGUAAAAAUCAUAAUCAUCAAGGAAAUAAUAAUAACAAGAAGAAAUGGAAAGGAAGACCUAGGUCAAAGUCUAGGUCUGGGAGUAGAAAGUGCUAUGGAUGUGGAAAAACUAGUCACCUUAUUAAAGACUGCUACAAAAAAAAAAAAAAAAAAAGGAAUGAACAAAGAGAUAAGUAUGUGGAUGAGGGAAAUGUUGUAGAACCCCUAGAAGAUAAAACUGUGGACGUCUAUGUUGUUACAGAACCCAUUACUGAUGUGAAUACUAUUAAUUUUUCUGAAAAUAAUUACCAAAGUCAAGAGUGGAUUCUUGAUUCUGGUUAUACCUUCCAUAUGACUUCUAAAAGAUCUUGGUUAGAAAGUUUUAAAAACAUAAAUGGAGGUGAGGUAGUAAUGGGUAAUAAUGCAGCCUGUAAAGUUUUAGGAAUUGGUAAUGUGACUUUGAAAUUUGAAAACGAAUAUAUCUUUACCCUAUAGAGAGUAGGAUAUGUCCCAGAUUUAAAAAGAAAUUGAAUUUUAAUGGAUAAUCUGGAUGACAUUAGCCUACAAGCUAAGCUUGGUGAUGGCCUAUUAAAAGUAAUUAAAGGCUCUCUUGUAAUAUUCAAAGGUGCCAAAAGAAAUGGAACAUAUGUCACUAGAGCCGACGUAAUUUCAAGUCACACUGCUGAAGUUGAUGCCACCUUAAAAUGACACAAUAGGUUAGCACAUGUAAGUGAAAGAGGUCUGCACAUUUUGAGUAAAAAGGGUGUUCAUGGAAAAGAUAAUAUUUCAAAAAUUUCCUUUUGUGAUUAUUGUACUCUAGGAAAAUAACAUAGACUUCACUUCAAUACAGUAUGAGACUACUUCUGUGUUGGAGUAUGUACAUGUUGAUUUGUGAGGACCCUCAUCUACCAUCACUCAAGGAGAAAAUAAAUAUUUUCUAUCUUUGAUUGAUGAUUUUCAAGAAAGGUUUAGAUUUUUCUGUUAAAACAGAAGUCAGAUACUUUUGAAAAAUUUAAAGGUUAGAAAACCUUGAUUGAAAAUCAGAAUGGGAAGAAAAUUGAUAAACUAAGAAUUGAUAACAGUCUAAAAUUUUGUAAUGCUGAUUUUUGAUCAAUUAUGUAAGGUUAGUGGCAUCUUUAGACAUAAAACUAUACCCUAUACCCCUCAACAAAAUGGAGUUGUCGAAAUGAUGAAUAGAAAAAUUCUAGACAAAAUUAGAUGCAUGGUGAUUAGUUCUGGAGUCCUAAAGUGUUGCGGGAAGAAGUUGCUAUGACAGCAGUGUACAUCAUAAAUAGAACCCCUACUAGUGCCUUAGAUGGUAGAACCCCUGAGGAGGUGUGGUAUGGAAAAAUAUCAUAUUAUACUCACCUUAAGACUUUUGGUUGUGUAGCCUUUUCCCAUCAAAGUGUUGGUAAAUUUGAACCUAGAUCCCUAAAAUGUGUUUUUAUGGGGUAUCCUAGGAGUGUAAAGGGCUACAAGUUGUGGGAUAGGAGUGUUAAGGGGUUUAGAAUAAUCACAAGUAGGAAUGUGACCUUUAAUGAGUCUGACAUGCCCUGCAUAUCUGAGAAAUAUCAUGAAACACACCUGUUGAACAUACUGAUGAAGUUCAGACUGAAAUCGAGGAAGUUUCAGAAGUUGAAAUAGAGGAAAAAGUGCCUGUUCAAGAAGUAGGUGAGGAAGAAAAUCCUUUAGAAGGUUACCAGUUUACUAGGGAUAGGGUUAGAAGAGAGAUAAGACAACCCUUGAAAAUGAGAGACUACCUAUCCUUAGCUUUAUUGUCCUACCAAGAUCUGGCCUUUAAAAAACCUAAAACAUAUGAGGAGGCAGUGAGUUGUCAAUUAUUAGAUGACUGGAAAUUGGCCAUGGGUAAAGAAAUGAGCUCUCUAUUGAAAAAUAAUACUCGGACUUUGGUUCCCAAUCCUAAGGAUAAAUCCAUAGUUGAUUGUAAAUGGAUUUAUAACAUAAAAGAGGGUAAUAAUUUGAAGCAGCCUAUUAGGUUUAAAGCCAGAUUAGUUGCAAAAGGAUUCACACAAAAACCUGGGAUAAUUUUCUCACAUGUGGUUAAAUACACAACCUUAAGAUUCAUGCUUGCUUUAGUAACACAUUUUGACUUAGAAAUUGAACAAAUGGACGUCAAAAUUGCUUUUUUGUAUGGAGACUUGGAUGAAACCAUUUAUAUGUGUUAGGCACUUGGUUUUAUUGAUACUAAGAAAUCUAAACAUGUGUGGCUAUUAAAAAGAUCUUUGUAUGGGCUUAAACAACUACCAAGACGAUGGUAUAAACGCUUUGAUAAUUUUGUGUCAUCCGUUGGUUUUCUUAAAAGCUUUUUUGAUCAUUGUUUGUACUUUAAAGAGGAUAAAAAUGGUCUGUGAUUGUUUACCUGCUUCUGUAUGUGGAUGAUAUGUUACUAAUAGGGCAACAUCUAAGUGAUAUUAAUGAUAUUAAAGGUUUUUAUGCUCUGAAUUUGAAAUGAAAGGCUUGGGACAUGCUAUAAGAAUUUUAGGCAUGGAUAUUAAGAAAAAUAGAUCUAAACAUGUUCUUUUUCUAUCACAAUCGGCAUAUGUGGAAAAAGUAUUAUCAAAAUUUGCUAUACAUGAAUCAAAGUUUGUUACUUUACCACUUGGAAGCCAUUUUAAAUUGAGUAAAGAUCAGUAUUCUGUUGAUGAAUCUGAUGUGAAAUAUAGGCAAAAGGUUUCUUAUGCUAAUGAUGUGGGGUCUAUUAUGUACACUAUGGUGUGUACCAGUCCUAAUGUUGCUCAUGCCAUCAGCACCUUAAGUAGAUUUAUGGAAAAUCUUGGCCUGAACACUGGAUUGCCUUAAAAUGGUUACUUAGAUAUCUAAACGGGUCCUCUAACUUGGGUUUAUGUUUUAAUCCUUGUAAAGAAGGUAUUAUUUUAAAGGGAUUUGUUAUUUUGAUUAUGCGGGGGACACGACAAUAAAAAAUCAACUACAUCUUACAUGUUUACCUUGUAUGGCAUUUGUGUGAAUUGGAAAUCACAAUUACAGUCUAUUACUGCAUUAUCAACCAUUGAAGCAAAAUAUGUGGUAGCCACUGAAGCCGUAAAAGAAGCAUUAUGGCAUAAAGGUUUAUCAUGUGAAUUAAAUGUCCUUUCUCACACAGUAGUAGUUUACUCAGAUAGUUAGAGUGCUACUCAUUUAUAUAAAAAUCUUAUUUUUCAUGAAAGGACUAAGCAUAUAAAUAUUAGAAUGCAUUUUGUCCAUGAUAUAAUUCAUAAGGAUUCUGUUGUACUUGAAAAAAUACCUAUUGAAUUUAAUCCAGCUGAUACGGGAAGCAGGGAACUCUCUCUUAACAAGUUUAAAUCUUGUUUGGAAAUUCUGAAAAUUGAUACUGGAUAAUUAUAUGGGAAAAGUAGGUACUGGUUUCUCCGUCUUGGUGCUUUGAGUUGUGGGACCUAUAUAAAGGAUGUGCAGAAGUUGUUUUUCUGUAUUUUGAGUCCUGUUCGAGUCAUUGGCAUCAAUGUGGAGAUUGUUUAGUUUGCGAUGCUAAUUUUGAAAUUACAACUCAAAUAAUGGGCUAUGAUGAAAACUGGGCUAGAACCAUUCUUGAUACUACACUUCCAUUGCUCGAUAACUCGAAUGAAGAGGCCCAAAACCCAAGCCCAUCAUUUGGCCACGUGUGAUACUACGGACUAUUGGAUCUUCUAAUUAAUAUCAACCAUGAUGAGCCUCUUAUGUAUAAUGGCGUUUGAUGGUUGCCCUAGUGGACUUCACUCAUUUUUCUUUUGUCUCUUGAACUUUCUAGAAUUUGAGAUUUUCUGUCUUCCUUUCUCCUUCAUCUUCUUUGUGUUUCUCUUGAAACUUCUGUGAUUUGGGGUUUGUAUACUGUGUGAAUAAGCGAUUCUUGAGUGAGGAAAAAUGGUUGAUAUCUGUUUUAGGGUUUUUUUUUCUUUGGUCCGUCGAGGGAGCCUCGUUCGGUUUCUUGUGUGGGUUUUGGUAUUUUGGUGCUUUAGGUUUGUAUAGAAGGUACAAUGAUUUUUGAGCCCAAAUGGUCGAUGAAAUCUUGGUGUCAAAUGUUCAGUUUGUUUUGUAACAGUUUACAGCGAAUGAUUUGGAUACUUUGUAUAUUUUUUGAUUUCUUGGUAUAAUAA